rnacentral:rRNA from 1 species
GCCACGGCUAACUACGUGCCAGCAGCCGCGGUAAUACGUAGGUGGCGAGCGUUGUCCGGAUUUAUUGGGCGUAAAGCAUGCGUAGGCGGAUACUUAAGUGGGAUGUGAAAUCCCGGGGCUCAACCCCGGUGCUGCAUUCCAAACUGGGUAUCUAGAGUACAGGAGAGGAAAGCGGAAUUCCUAGUGUAGCGGUGAAAUGCGUAGAGAUUAGGAAGAACACCAGUGGCGAAGGCGGCUUUCUGGACUGUAACUGACGCUGAGGCAUGAAAGCGUGGGUAGCAAACAGGAUUAGAUACCCUGGUAGUCCACGCCGUAAACGAUGAGUACUAGGUGUCGGGGUUUCAAUACUUCGGUGCCGCAGUUAACACAUUAAGUACUCCGCCUGGGAAGUACGAUCGCA